CAUAAAGGCAGAACUGCUGAUAAACCCACCGCACCCCCUCUCUCCGGGUUUCCUCCUUGAAGAUCAAUAUGCUGAUUUCCAGCAGCAACCCCGGAGACCACUUAGUCAGCCGGGUUCUGCCAGACUUUGCCUGCUGCUUCGUUCGCUCGUAGAGUUGCAGCAGGGAGAGAGGCUGGCCCUGGACUUCCACAUGCACUUCGCUCUCCGAGCACAUUAACUUGCUCACGAAGUCAUGAGCAUGAGCAGCAGCACUACCACCACCUGACCGCCAUUCUGCACCCCGAAACUUUCCGUUUUCCUGCCCGCCACUCUCUCGGACUUCCUUUUGAUCCCCUCCGCCGCCGGAGUGGAUGUGGUGGUAGUGGUGGAGGUAGAGAAGGAGGAGGAAGGGCGGGAGGGGGGGGGAGAAGAGCUACGAGGGCUGCUCGAGAUUUACCAUCUGCUUCACGAUCUCGGGACCUCAGGGUUGGAAAGAAGAGUUCCACCAUGGGCUGCCUGUGAAAGGAACUUGGCUUACUCGGGGCUUUGGCAGAAGUUGAGACUUCCCUCGGGGGCUUCCUGGAGGGUGAGCUGGGCCUUUCUACACGCGGAGGGAGAUAUCUCCACUGUUGAAUGUAAAGAUCUCCAUGGUAACUCAAACCCCCAGCCUCUUUGUAGCAGCCUGCAAGAAGCAGUUUUCAACAGCUCAAAGGUCUCACGGCCAGAGCGUGGAUCACACUUCUUGCAAGCCUCAUUGUAUUGAGGUGGGGCUAAGAUGAGCAUAACCAGCGAUGAAGUGAAUUUCUUGGUUUAUCGUUACCUCCAGGAGUCAGGUUUCUCCCAUUCCGCCUUUACAUUUGGAAUAGAGAGUCAUAUUAGCCAAUCCAACAUCAAUGGAACACUAGUGCCACCUGCUGCCCUUAUCUCUAUACUUCAGAAAGGCCUACAGUAUGUGGAAGCAGAGAUAAGCAUCAAUGAGGAUGGUACAGUGUUUGAUGGUAGACCUAUCGAGUCCUUAUCUUUGAUAGAUGCAGUAAUGCCUGAUGUAGUGCAAACUCGGCAGCAGGCUUUCAGGGAGAAAUUAGCACAGCAACAAGCUAGUGCAGCAACAGCUGUAGUUACAACAACAACAACAGCAACAGCAGUCACAACUACUACAACAGCCACAACAACAACUAUUGCUAUCCCACAGCAAAAUACACCAAAGACUGGAGAAGCCACUGUGAAUGGAGAGGAGAAUGGGGCACAUGCAAUAAAUAAUCACUCAAAACCAAUGGAAAUCGAUGGGGAUGUUGAAAUUCCUUCUAAUAAAGCAACAGUUCUUCGGGGUCAUGAAUCAGAGGUGUUUAUCUGUGCCUGGAAUCCUGUCAGUGAUCUACUAGCAUCAGGAUCUGGUGAUUCCACUGCCAGAAUAUGGAAUCUUAAUGAAAACAGCAAUGGUAGUUCCACACAACUAGUUUUGAGGCACUGUAUAAGAGAAGGAGGGCAUGAUGUUCCCAGCAAUAAAGAUGUAACAUCACUAGACUGGAAUAGUGAUGGAACACUCUUGGCUACUGGAUCAUAUGAUGGCUUUGCAAGAAUAUGGACGGAAGAUGGAAAUCUUGCAAGCACCUUAGGGCAACAUAAAGGGCCCAUCUUUGCUCUGAAGUGGAACAAAAAGGGAAAUUACAUUUUAAGUGCUGGCGUUGAUAAAACAACAAUAAUUUGGGAUGCUCAUACAGGUGAAGCUAAACAACAGUUUCCUUUCCACUCAGCCCCAGCCCUGGACGUAGAUUGGCAGAAUAAUACUACCUUUGCAUCGUGCAGCACUGAUAUGUGCAUACAUGUAUGCAGACUUGGCUGUGAUCGUCCAGUCAAAACCUUUCAAGGCCACACGAAUGAGGUCAAUGCAAUUAAAUGGGAUCCUUCUGGUAUGCUUCUAGCAUCCUGCUCAGAUGAUAUGACGUUAAAGAUUUGGAGUAUGAAGCAAGACACUUGUGUACAUGACCUUCAAGCACAUAACAAAGAGAUUUAUACUAUCAAAUGGAGCCCAACAGGACCAGGUACCAGCAACCCAAACUGCAACAUUAUGUUGGCAAGUGCUUCAUUUGAUUCUACUGUUCGGUUGUGGGAUGUAGAAAGAGGUAUCUGCACUCACACGUUAACAAAACAUCAAGAACCUGUCUACAGUGUAGCUUUUAGUCCUGAUGGAAAAUAUUUAGCAAGUGGAUCCUUCGACAAAUGUGUUCAUAUAUGGAAUACUCAGAAGAUCUGUUCUUAUGUUGAUUCUCAGUCAAAUUCUAAAGGAAACCUUGAGGCUAAUGAGAUUAGCUGUAUUCCUUCCUAGGAAUAGCAGUCUGCACUCAAGAUAAGUGAACUUAAUUAAGAAAUUAUAUCAGUCCAGAAAUAUUGCUCAAAAUACCAAUGUAUUCUGUUACAGGAGUGACUCUCCCAAUUUUGCUAAAUUUUUGGCAAGCCUCAACAUUUUUAUACUGGCUGAAACUGUUAUUUCAGUUAUUAUAGUUUGGAUCUCUUGCUAUAGGGUCACAUUCUUAUAACUUAGAGACAAAAUUACAUUUUAGGAGCAGUUUCAUUCUUAGUUAUUUUUUUAAUUCAGUUUUCAGUUUUAUGUAGACUCCUUGCUUGUUACUCACCCAAUACAUACCCCUAGGUACAGGCCAAGUACUUUGUAUAGUAAGUUAAUAGUUAACAAAUAACUGUGUUAUCAAGAUAAUGAUGAAAACCAUCUUGAAUGCAUUUGGGUCAAUAUAAAAGGUGGGGGGGGGAAUGACAUUGCUAUAGAUGUAUACUAUAGGCCACCCAACCAAAUAGAAGAAAUAGAUGAUUUUGCUAAUCAGUUAACUACCCUGUUUCCCAGAAAAUAAGACAUCCCCGGUAAGAAACCCAAUCAGGCUUUUGAGCGCAUGUGCUAAAAUACCCUCCCCAAAAAUAUUUAAAUGUAUGCACAGCCAAUCCCCACCGUUUAUCUGGUUAGGGUUAGGGAGACAGAGCUGGAAAUCAGGUAAGACGGCAAGAAGACCCCCAUCUUGUUCUACACACCCUAAAGUUAUAAGACUUCUUCGAAAAUAAGGCCAAGCACUUAUUUCAAGGUUCAAAAAAUAUAAGACAGGGUCUUAUUUUUAGGGAAACAUGGUAAGGUAUGUAGGAAGUACAUCACAAUAGUAAUGGGGAACUUAAAUUAUCCUGACAUCAUCUGGGAAACAAACUUUACACCAAGUGGAAGAUCAAACCGUUUCCUGACAAACCUAGCAGACAACUUUGUCUCCCAAAAAGUAGAAAAGGAAACUAGGAAGUCAGCCAUAUUGGACUUAAUUCUCACUAAUAGAGAUGCAAUGAUAGAAGGUAUUGAAAUUAUAGAAAUCUUGUAGGGGGAGUGAUCAUGCAAUAUUGGAAUUCAGCAUUAUUUAUUUAUUUGUUUUAUUUGUUUGUUUGUUUUACUUGUUGUCAAACAUGUACAAGAUAACAAGUAUAGGUAUGAACAUAAACAUGAACAAAGGAAGUAAAUACAGAUAAAUGGGGACAGUAAGACAGGGACAGUAGGCACGCUGGUGCGCUUAUGCACGUCCCCUUUAUGGACCUCUUAAGAAUGGGGUGAGGUCCACAGUAGACAGUUUGAGAUUGAAGCUAUGAGGGUUUGAGGCUGUAACAAUGGUGUCAGGUAGAGCAUUCCAGGUGUUGACCACGCUGUUGCUGAAAUCGUAUUUUCUACAAUUGAGUUUGAAGCGGUUUACCUUGAGUUUGUAUUGAUUGUUUGCCUGUGUAUUAUUGUGGUUGAAGCUGAAGAAGACAUUGACAGGCAAGAUGUUGUAGCAGACAAUUUUGUGUACUAAGCUUAGAUUGGACUGCAGGUGUCGCAGUUCCAGAUUGUCUGAGCCCCAAAUUUUAAGUCUGGAGGCAUAGGGAAUUCUAUUGUGAGUAGAGGAGCGGAGUAUUAUGCAAGCACAAGCAGUAGAACAAAGUCCAACUAGAAUCUUGGACUUUAAGAGAGCUGAUUUCAAUAAACUUAGAGUUUGGGAAGGAUUCCAUGGAUGAGAAUCCCCAAGGGGAAAACAACCCAAGUAGCUUGGGGAAUUUUGAAAAGUAAGAUUAUAAAAGCCCAGUCUAGCACAAUUCCAGUGAAGAAGAAAAGUAACAGCUCUCAAAAGAAACCAGCAUGGCUGCAUAAAGAACUCUGAUAAAUUGAAAGCCAAAAAGGUUAAGUAUAAAAAAUGGAAAGAGGGGCACAAAACUAAGGCAGAAUAUCAUUAAAGAUGAAAGCACGAAAGCUAAGGCUCAAAACAAAUUAAGGCUUGCAACAAAAGUAAAAAAAUGACCAAAAAAGUUUCUUUCAGUAUGUAAAAAAUGAGAAAAAAAUCAAGGAAAUGAUUGGCCCAUUAAUGGGAGAAAAAAGUAAGGUGAUCAGCAAUGGGGAGAAAGCUGAUGAACUGCUUAACUCAUUUUUUGCAUCUGUCUUUACACAAAAGGAAAAAAACAGUCCAAUCUUCUUCAAAAGAUUAAUGACAUAAACAUAUAGUUAUCCAUUUGGAACAUGGAUAUGCAAGUACAAAUGAUCAAGUUAUUACUCCAUAAGCCAUAGGCAAAACUAAUGCAACUAUUAUUUAUAGAAAUGUAUGUGUUAUGAUAUCAGUAUUGAAAUUACAAACAAAAUGGUAUAGAUUUGUCCCCUGAAUGAAGGUGUUCUAUUUAUUCAUAGAGUGGGACUCUAGUACAUAGCUACAGAGGCACCGGUGGAAUAUUUGAAGUCUGCUGGAAUGCUAGAGGAGACAAAGUCGGAGCCAGUGCUUCCGAUGGAUCGGUGUGUGUUCUAGACCUGCGAAAAUAAAUAUUUUAGAAGAAACUGCAAAUGGACCAGCAUUGAAUGUGGAGGUAGAAGCACUCUUCAAACGUACUUUUAACAUCUUUGGAAUGGCAAAAACUGGGGGAAAUAAACAGAAGCAGAACUAAACAAAUAACGCAUUUCUUCCAGGCAAAAGGAGCUUGCAAUGUUUUGUCCAUCAACCUUCACCAAGGUUUUAAAACAGAAUCACUUAGGGAGGGGGGAUUUUUCCACUAUGAACUUACAGCCUUUGGAGGCAAGCAAGAAGGUGGCCAUCAACAGCUAAACCUGCUGUUUGCUGGGGUCAGAUCUCUGAGACCUCAUUUUGACAGCUGCUAAAAAGAAGACGAAAAGCUGUGCCAAAAACAAUAACAAUUAAAAGGAAAACAAAAUCUAUGAAGCAAAAUGCUUUGAUAAACCAAAAUGGGAAAAAGUUCUCUUCCAUGUGGUAUUGCAUUAUUUUACUUUCUAGUUUGGACACUACAAUUGCUCUCCCAAAGGACAUUCAAAAACCAGUUUGUAUUGAUGAUACACUCAAAUUUGUAAUCCCAACACUUUGUAUUUUCUAGACUACUGUUAUUUGUUCAGUGAUUUUUUUUCUUAUCAGCUGGAAUGUUACAGCCUUGACAAUAACAGGCAUAGGUUCAAUCUGAAUGUCUGUCUUUUUCUUUUUCUCUUUCUUUCUUUCUUUCUUUCUCUCUCUCUCUCUCUUUCUUUCUUUUUUCUUUCUUUCUUCACCAACUUUUUGCUUUGUCCUUUCCAUUUGUGCCUAGUUAAUGCAAAGGGCAGAUGGGCAUCAUUAGUGACUGCUUCUGUUUUCCAUUUCUUCUUUUCAAUCCUCCCCUCCAUCUUUUCUCUUUUCUUUAUCCUCUGAUUCUGCUACUUCUUUAAUGUUUCCAUGCUUCAGAUCUUGAAAUCUGAAGGGCACUUUCAAAAAAUUGUGUAUUAAGUGCUUUAGGUGCCGGAAAAGCUUUUUACAGAAGAAAGAUUACUUUUUAAAAAAAGAAAGAACCCCAUGUAUUUUUGGAAUAAGAAAUAAAGGUCGUAGUAUUUUUAUGUUAAAACACAAUUUUAGAAACUUAAAAUAUCUAACAUAUGUGGAUUGAGUUGUGUUCCAUCAUUUAAAAGAACAAUUCAGAUGAAUCCCUAUUUAAAGAUGCAGUAUCUUUUUAAUCUUCGUGAAAGGCAGUUUUGCCCAUACUUAUUUUUAAAAGAUUCUUUAAAUUAAUCAUGCAAGUAGUAAAAUAUUCCAUGGCAUAAAUUCUUUAUCAGAUAUUGUAACUUGACAAGAUAUUAAAACAUAAUUUCAGAAUUAUAAACUUCAAAACUUACUUUGAAUUAAUUUUUUCUUAAAAAUCAUGACUUUUUAAAGGAAAAAUAUUACCAUUGGUGUACCGUGACCUGCUUUCAAAUAUAGCUUUGACUUAUAUUUGAAGUUAUGAAAGAAUUAAUCUUAACAUUUCACUCUAUAUUAAUUACUAUUUACAAAUUAUGUAGAAAUGUUUGAUAAAAAGAACAGAUUUCAUCAUUUUUAUUUUUUAAAUAGUAUUUCACCCCAAGAUAUCAGGCUUGAGUGCAUUAAACUCUUAGAAGAAAUUCACUUCUAAGUAGAUAUGCAUAAUAUUACUAUUUAAGAUAAUACUUUAAAUCUGGCUUCAAAUCAACAAUAACUGGGUAUUGAGGCAUAUAAAUAUCAUAACAAAUAAAGUACAGAUAGUCCUCGAAUUACAAUCACAGUUGGAACUAGAAUUUCCAUUGUGAAGCAGGAAGGUUGUUAAGUAGGUUAUGUCCAAUAAUAUAACAUAUUUUUAUCACAGGUAAGUGAAACAUUACAGUUAUUAAGUGAAUCACAUGGCCAUUAAAUGAAUCUAUUUUUCCAUUGACGUUGCUUGUCAGAAGACAGCUGAGAAACUUGCAAACGGUAAUCACACGACCCCAGGACACUGCAGCCCUACAGUUGCCAAAGUGGGGAUGCAAUGAUAGUUGUAAGUGCAAGGACUGGUUGUAAGUUACUUUUUUCAGUACUGUUGUAACUUUGAAUGGUUGCUAAAUGAAUGGUUGUAAAUGGAGGACUACCUGUAUUGUAAUAUUAAAAUGAUAAAAUAUUAUUCCAUAACCAAUUCUGGAAUAAAAUUCUGGACAUUCUAUUUGAAUUUAGACUUAAUUGAGAUACAUGUGAACUAAUGGGAUACUACAUCUUUAAUAUGGUAAACAGGGUUCCUGUACGGGGGAAUCAAAACGCCUAAUAUUCCUAGGAUUCCACAAAGAUUUUUUCUUAAUAUAAGAGAUUGCAUUUUUAUUUUAAAACAAAACUAUGUAAUUUUUGUCCCAGAUGAUGUGCACUUUUUUUCAUUUUUAUAGCUUGUUUCCCCCCUUUUUUUCUUUCCUUCCUUCCUUCUUUCCUUCCUUUCCAAAUUAUAUUUUUCAGCCAUUCACUGAUAGUCUAAAUUCUGGCUUCUGAAGUUUUAUUGUCUGUGUCAGACUUGAAGCCAGGCUUGAUUCUCAUUUCAGCAUUUCAUAGAUUCUGUUGAAACGCCUCCCCUUGCCCAGUUUGUCUCUAUACACAUCCCCACUUACAUGCAUACACACAUCCAAAAACCACACUCACUUUCUUUCAACAAAUCACCUUGUGUGUUGUAAUUCAUUUGUUCCAAGAAGAAAAUCAAGAGAUCAUAUUCAGUGUCUUGAAUAAAUUGCUAUAUUUUGAUAUUAGAACAA